AGCACCAGAAGCCACCCUCAGUUCCUGCAAGACAGAGAAAGGAGACAGAGAAGGACAGGUUCCUGGGUUGUACAACUCUGCCUAGAACAGAGGAGCAUGAAUAAACAUUGAUCCUCAGAACAUCCACCUUCUUCUGAGUUGAAAAGACACAGGUAAAUUUUCACGAAGCUGAGUGAAAGACUUUGAAAGAGACAGAAACUUUCUGAAGUAUCACAUCUCAUUUACUUGGGAUCUACAAGAAGAGAAAUGUUACAGGACAUCACAGUACUGACACUGUGAGUCCACAGACUUCGACAGAAAUAAGAGUUUAUAAUCCAAAACCUAGAGAUGCUGGAUUUAAAGGACUCUUAGAAGAUUUCAAAGAAUUCAUGAUCUGGCAAAGGAAGAACCUCAAAAAUACCGGACUCUGCCCAAGUUCCCUUGCUAAAUCCAUUUUAAGAAGUGGCCCCAAGACUUUUGACCCUAACUCCUGCUGUUUGCACUAUCUCGUUGUAUUAUUCUUAUAAAAAAGUACUCAUGUCUAAGAAAUGAACACUUAAAUCUAGU